rnacentral:rRNA from 1 species
GACGAACGCUGGCGGCGUGCCUAAUACAUGCAAGUCGAACGAAGCUGUUUUAACUGGUGCUUGCACCGACUUAAACAACUGAGUGGCGAACGGGUGAGUAACACGUGGGUAACCUGCCCCAAAGCGGGGGAUAACAUUUGGAAACAGAUGCUAAUACCGCAUAACCACAGAAACCACAUGGUUUCUGUGUCAAAGAUGGUUUCGGCUAUCACUUUGGGAUGGACCCGCGGCGUAUUAGCUAGUUGGUAAGGUAAUGGCUUACCAAGGCAAUGGUACGUAGCCGAACUGAGAGGUUGAUCGGCCACAUUGGGACGGAGGCACGGCCCAAACUCCUACGGGAGGCAGCAGUAGGGAAUCUUCCACAAUGGACGAAAGUCUGAUGGAGCAACGCCGCGUGAGUGAAGAAGGUUUUCGGAUCGUAAAACUCUGUUGUCAGAGAAGAACGUGUGCGAGAGUAACUGUUCGUGCAGUGACGGUAUCUGGCCAGAAAGCCACGGCUAACUACGUGCCAGCAGCCGCCGUAA